GACAGAGGGUGCAAACGUUGUUCGGAAUUACUGGGCGUAAAGCGCGUGUAGGCGGUCUCGCAAGUCGGAUGUGAAAGCCCAGGGCUCAACCCUGGAAGUGCACUCGAUACUGCGAGGCUAGAGUCCCGGAGAGGAUGGUGGAACUCUCGGUGUAGAGGUGAAAUUCGUAGAUAUCGGGAAGAACACCCGUGGCGAAGGCGGCUCUCUGGGACGGUACUGACGCUGAGACGCGAAAGCGUGGGGAGCGAACAGG
rnacentral:rRNA from 1 species